GGGACUCCGUCGGAGCGCUCGGAUACAGGAUGUGGUCUCACGUACAUUAACCGUCUCUCAGCUGCGGAUUUGCAACUGAUAGCGGCCGCUUUCCCGGCGGAUUUAAAGAGGCUCUGGCCAGUCGCGGUAGACCGUCUGACAGGGCUAACGCCCCACAGAGAGGACCGGCCCUCGCGGCGGAACCGGCCGCAGAGCCCGCUCUCACCGCUUCACCUCCCGCCAGGAGCAGAACACUCAAACUGCAUCAAAGAAGAACUCUGGAGCCUGUGCACGAAAUUAACGAGUCUUCCCCCUCCCACCCAAUACUUAUGUUCAUCAAAGUCAGCGGGACAGAAGUGCUGCAGUACCUCAGUUUUACAGAUACACAGUCAGCCAUGUAAGAUGCUACAGAGAAGACUGACCUGAGCAUGAGGAGACCUUCUUGAAUGACCUCAUCGUCUUCUGAGGAACCUAAAAUCAGAGAGCUGGAGUCAGUACUGUGUACACUGUACCAGAGUACCAUAUUUAAUUACCUCUUCUCCAGUUUAACAGCUCAUUAGGAAUGCCAGGGCAUUGACUCUAUGAAGUGACCUAUAAACUUACUCUAUGAGACUUACCUAGCUCAUCAAAACCACAGUGAGAUAGCCAAGGCAUAAGAUAAAAAAAUCAGCCACUGUUUUUUUUUUUUCCUAGCACCA